rnacentral:rRNA from 1 species
GAUGAACGCUGGCGGCGUGCCUAAUACAUGCAAGUCGAGCGAACGGACGAGAAGCUUGCUUCUCUGAUGUUAGCGGCGGACGGGUGAGUAACACGUGGAUAACCUACCUAUAAGACUGGGAUAACUUCGGGAAACCGGAUCUAAUACCGGAUAAUAUUUUGAACCGCAUGGUUCAAAAGUGAAAGACGGUCUUGCUGUCACUUAUAGAUGGAUCCGCGCUGCAUUAGCUAGUUGGUAAGGUAACGGCUUACCAAGGCAACGAUGCAUAGCCGACCUGAGAGGGUGAUCGGCCACACUGGAACGGAGACACGGUCCAGACGCCUACGGGAGGCAGCAGUAGGGAAUCGUACGCAAUGGGCGAAAGCAUGACGGAGCAACGCCGAGUGAGUGAUGAAGGUCUUCGGAUCGUAAAACUCUGUUAUUAGGGAAGAACAUAUGUGUAAGUAAAUGUGCACAUCUUGACGGUACCUAAUCAGAAAGCCACGGCUAACUACGUG